CCAGUGGUCUAGGCAGCGCCAGGAGGGGCACCCUAAGGGGCCGCGGAUGCAGGCUUCUGAGGGCGGCGGAACACCUCCCCUCCCCUCCCCCUUUCUCCUUCCCAACCCCUUCGCAUCCCGCGGCUGCAGGUGCUGAAGACCGGGGGGUAAAGAAUGGAAACGCCUUUUGGACUCUAAGGGUCCCCUUCCCACCCGUUUAGAAAGAAAACAUCCUUCCUGUCAUCUGCCCUCCCAAAACUGACGUACACUUGUAAAAACCAAGGAGCAGCCAUGGCGGACAGCCUAAGAAGACUAGUUAACAACGAAUGCUGUCGAAUGUUGCAGGAGAAAUUGGAGACGUGGUACAAGGAUUACUAUAUGAACUCAUGUGAUCAAAACUUGAAUUGCUGCUGUGAAAUAAUUGAACUGAAUUCCAGAAUACAGGGGCAGCUCUUCACAAUCUUCAGUCUAACAGCGCAAGAAGGUGGACAUUAUGCUGGUGUGGAAACAAUCAAAUCUCGACUUCUGCCCUGGCUAGGGACUUGCUUCUCCAAUUCUUCUAUAGGAAAACCCAUUGACAACAACUUAAGCCUUUUUCAGGAGUCACUUGAAAAGGACAGACAGCUACGAGAACUUUCUGCUACCCGGGAACGGGAGAUACAGCAGUUAGAUUCGGAAUUGAAUUCAACUCGUGUACAACUCAGCAUGGUUCAACAAGAUCUGGCAGAAACUGAGAUGGAUCUUGAAGACACCAAGGCCAAAUCAGCUACAGCCCUUUUGGCUGCAGAGGAUGAAAUAAUUCAUCUAAAGAAUCAACUCAAGUCUCUUCAAGCCCAGGAGGAGUCCCGCCAACGCAGCUUGGAUAUGAUAGCUGACUAUGAGCGACAGCUUCGGACUCUGAAGGAUGAGAUUGCUGUCCUGUCUGCAGAAAAAUCUGUUCUCCAGAGCAGACUCUCCAGGAGCCGGUCUCCUAGCCCUGAUUCCCAAUGCAGCAGGGCUUCCAGUCCCGUUCAAAAAGAGAUGACCCUGUCACCUCUAGCCAACAGGCUGAACUCUGUCUCACGCAAAGCUAAUCUCCUGGCCCGUUUCACUGAUGCAUAUACUAAAGGCCGAAUGGAGGCACAGACCUUACUCAAGAGAUACAUUGAUAAGAUGGAAACGGUGCAGAGGAUCAUCUAUAUUGCCACAGUGGAGUCUUUCCAUGUAGCUAAGAUGGCAUUCAGACACUUCAAAAUACGUGUGAGGAAGACUUUAACACCAGGUCAUAUUGGGACAGAAUCUAUUGAGGACGUUGUCACGGAUUACAUAAUUUGUCAUCUUGAUUUAUAUGAUGUUCAAAGCAGCGUUAAUGACGUGAUUCGUGCCAUGAACGUGAACCCCAAGAUUUCUUUUCCACCUGAAGUUGAGUUUGCCAUUAUUAGCUGCUUCAUCAAGGAGAUAUGCUGUAUUGCAUUUGCAAUGCAGACUUUGGAUCCUCCCCUAGAUAUUGCAUUUGGUGCUGAUGGAGAGAUUUUUAAUGAUUGCAAGUAUCGCCGCAGCUGUGACUCUGAUUUCACGGCUCCCUUGGUCUUCUAUCACGUGUGGCCUGCUCUGAUGGAGAAUGAAAAUAUCAUUAUGAAGGGAGAAGCUGUCACCAAGAGAGGGGCUUUUUGGUCAUCUGUGAAAUGCGUCAACCGAAGUAGGAGUCGAAGUCUAAGCCCUGUCCCUCAGCAUGGUAGCCCGUGUAAAAGCGGGGCAUCAAGAAGCCGAAGCCCUUCUCCAUCAAGAGAUAUCAAUGCAAAUGGACACUCCAGUUGUAUUUCUCAGUGACGCUAAUGUUCCUGGUUGACAUAGGCAGUAUCUUAAGAGGUAGAAGGCAGUAAACUUGGAUUCCAGUCCUCGCUCCACCCUGACUUCCUUGUUGGCUGUGGGACUUAGGACAAGUCAUGUAACCUCUUGGAGCUCAAUUUUGGGAGUCACAUGAGAUACGGUUUUAAGUUGACUGGAAGUAUUUCUUUGCUCCUGUACAUCUGGACAAAUCAACUCCAGUGGUGCUUCCAUCUGUUCUAAGAGUUCUUCAAACCUCACUUAAGAUAAUGUGAAUGACAAUUCUGUAUCACUCGAAGGGGAGAGCUAAAAUUUUUUUUUUGGUGUAGUGUGUUUUGAUAACUUUAGAUAUAUUGCCUUUUUAUAACUUUUUUAUUUAGAAACUAAUUCAAUUAAUUUGAUAAAAAUGUGUAGGUGUUUACGAUCAUAUUCAUUUGAUACAAGGCUUACUCCACAGUUUCAAGAAUUCCAUUGUUAAAUACCAUACUGUAUUUUAGCAAACUCUAGAAGCAAAGAUAAAAACAUCUUAACUGACCGAUGUUUAGCCAAUUUGAAACAACACAACAGGACAUUUAGUUUCACAGUCCAGUCAUAAACAUCACAUGUGAUCAGACUAAUUUUAAAACAUUGUUAUCAUAUGAUGCCUUUUUGGUUUUGUUUUACCUUUUGGGAGAUAGCAUUAUCUUAGACUAGGAAAACUUCCAUCCUAUCCCUAGAGUUAAUUAUCUUGUUUUAAAUGUGAAAAGUUUUUAACUAAGGGAAUACUGUUACUUUGCUUCCCUGUGCUUUCUACCCCAAAGUAUAAAUAUCAGGUCAUGAGGAUUACUUUGUUUAUUAAAUCUUGACUGUCACUUGAGAGAGGACAUCUGUCAAUUAGUGCUUAUCUGCCCUAUUUUAUCUUUUGGGAUUACUUUGCUUUUGCCAAUGCGUACCUGAAGUUUGACAAUACUUACUUGAUAUUUGUUCAUUAGCAUUUCCAAUGAAACACACAUAAAACCCAAUUUUAUUUGAAUAAAAUCACCCCAGCUCCUAAAA